rnacentral:rRNA from 1 species
AAUGAACGUUGGCAGCGUGGAUUAGGCAUGCAAGUCGAGCGACAAGGUCCUUCGGGACUGGAGGAGCGGCUAACGGGGUAGUAAUACAUCGGAACGUACCCUUUCGUCCGGGAUAGCCAUGGGAAACUAUGAGUAAUACCGGAUAAUCUCUGAGGAGAAAAGGUCCGCCGCGAAGGGAGCGGCCGAUGCGAGACUAGGUAGUUGGUGAGGUAAUGGCUCACCAAGCCCAAGAUCUCUAGGGGGGUGUGAGAGCAUGGCCCCCACCACUGGAACUGAGACACUGUCCAGACACCUACGGGUGGCUG